rnacentral:rRNA from 1 species
CAUUAACGCUGGCGGCAUGCCUAACACAUGCAAGUCGAACGAAAACACCGGGAGCUUUCUCCCCUGAGGGUGGCGCGUGUCGGAUGAGUGACACAUGGAUCGCCUACCUCUAAGACUGGGGUGAUAACGUGGGAAAAGAUCCACUACCGGAAAAUAUAUCGAACCGCUUAGAGCAAGAGUUAAAGAAGCUUUUCGCGACUGUAAUAGCCGAAGUCGUGUCGGAUUCGUUAGUGGGUAAGGGAACGGCUUAGCAACGCUGCGAAGCGGAUCCGACCUGAUAGGGUGAUCAGCCACACUGGAAGUGAGACACGGUCCAGACUCCUACGGGAGGCAGCAGUAGGGAAUCUUGCGCAAUGGGCGAAAGCGUGAUGCAGCAACACCGCGUGAGUGAUGAAGGUCUUCGGAUUGUAAAACUCUGUUGUUCGGAAAGAAAAAAAGCUUGUUUACCCCUGCACGUAUUGACGGUACCGAAAGAAUAAGCACCGGCUAACUCCGUG